rnacentral:rRNA from 1 species
UACGAAGGGUGCAAACGUUGCUCGGAAUUAUUGGGCGUAAAGCGCACGUAGGCGGCUUAGCAAGUCUGAUGUGAAAAGCCCCACGGCUCAACCGUGGAGGGUCAUUGGAAACUGGGGGACUUGAGUACAGAAGGAGAAGAGUGGAAUUCCACGUGUAGCGGAUGAAAUGCGUAGAGAUGUGGAGGAACACCAGUGGCGAAGGCGACUCCUUUGGUCUGUAACUGACGCUGAGGCGCGAAAGCGUGGGGAGCAAACAGG